rnacentral:rRNA from 1 species
UACGAAGGGGGCUAGCGUUGCUCGGAAUCACUGGGCGUAAAGGGUGCGUAGGCGGGUCUUUAAGUCAGGGGUGAAAUCCUGGAGCUCAACUCCAGAACUGCCUUUGAUACUGAAGGAUCUUGAGUUCGGGAGAGGUGAGUGGAACUGCGAGUGUAGAGGUGAAAUUCGUAGAUAUUCGGAAGAACACCAGUGGCGAAGGCGGACUCACUGGC